rnacentral:rRNA from 1 species
GGGCCCGCACAAGCGGUGGAGCAUGUGGUUUAAUUCGAUGAUACGCGAGGAACCUUACCAGGGCUUAAAUGUAGUGGGACAGGUCUAGAGAUAGACCUUUCUUCGGACUCAUUACAAGGUGCUGCAUGGUUGUCGUCAGCUCGUGCCGUGAGGUGUCAGGUUAAGUCCUAUAACGAGCGCAACCCCUAUCGUUAGUUGCCAGCGGGUCAUGCCGGGAACUCUAGCGAAACUGCCGGUGCAAACCGAGAGGAAGGUGGGGAUGACGUCAAAUCAUCACGGCCCUUACGUCCUGGGCCACACACGUGCUACAAUGGCCGGUACAGAGAGCAGCCACUACGCGAGUAGGAGCGAAUCUACAAAACCGGUCUCAGUUCGGAUCGCAGUCUGCAACUCGACUGCGUGAAGCUGGAAUCGCUAG